UCAACUUUUUCUAAUCAUAAUUAAUUUAUAAUAAUAUUCAAUAAAAAAAAGUAUAAUGCAUAUUUUCCUCUGUUAUUUUUCUUUUUAAUGUGUGAUUAAAACUUUUCAUAAGUUUAUAUAAGGUAUUUUCCUUUUUUAAAAUGAUUUAAAAAAUUGUAAAUUAUGCCAAGCAGUCUUUACUUGAGAAAUAAUUCAUAAAAUUUUCUCUUUUAUGAUUAAAAUUAUGGAUAUAUUCACAAAAUGAAGAAUACAAUAUCAUAUUUUAUCAGGCUAGUCUUCGUUGGUGAUAUCAGUUAUGAUUACUACUAGAUAUCGAACUAAUAUUGUAAGUCUGCGCAUGCCGUGUUUCUUCGGCUUAUAUUUAUGCUUGCUUUUCAGAAUUGAGUCGUGUUGUAUCGUGUAAUGUCACAAAAAAAUAUAGAUCGUAUCGUGUCAUAUCGACAUUUUUAUAGGGUAGACACGCCACGGACUGUAGACCCAAUAUUUCAUACCGCGCUUGGAUUCGUAUCAUGCUUUGCUCAUACCGAUCCGUAUUUUUUAUACAAAUCAGCCUAUUUUCAUAUUCUGACUUAAAUUCAUGCUUUACUUUUUUAUAUUUUAAUUUUUCUUACAAUUAGUUUAUAUGUAUAUUUUAAAAUUUUAAUUAUAUUUAUAUACCUUUUAAACAAUGUUUUAUAAAUAAUCAUACAAAAAAAUUAUUAAUAUCAUUAUAAUCAGCUUUUAGAUCGUAUUGAGAGACUUGUUGUGCUUCUUUGGAGAGUUUGGGGAGCUCGUAAUGACUUAGUUUGGAAUAACAAGCCUUUGUCAGUAGAGAGAGUGGUGAAUGCUGCAAUUACUUACCUUGAUUCUUAGAAGAAUGCUCAGCUGGAAAGUAGGGUUGUGCGCUAAAUUCUGGUUCGAAUACUUCCAGGUGUGAGCAAUGGGCUAAACCUUGUUUUGGUGAGAUUGAGGUUAAUUGUGAUGCUGCUGUCUUUGAGGAUGACAAUAGUCUAGGUUUGGGGUGGAUUGCUCGGGAUCAUAAUGGGUUAUUCUUGGAUGCGCUGGCAGUUAAAACUUAUGGUCAACCCGACCCGUUUUUGGCUGAAGCUAUGGCGUUGAAGGAGGCGCUCAGUUGGGUGAAGGGAAGGUGGUUUGAGGGGGGUGUGCCUGCUGGUGUGGUUGUGGAGUCGGACUCGCUGCUGCUGGUGCAAGGCGUGCAGCAAAAGAAGCGGUUGUUGUCUCUGGUGGGGCUUUUGAUUUCGGAUUGUGUUGCUCUUAUGCAAUCCUCUCUUUUAUUUUCUAUUUCAAUUAGUUUUGUUAAACGGUCUGGGAACCAGGCGGCUAACUUUUUAGCUUGUUCUUCUGGUUCUAUUCUAGGCUGUGUUUCCCGCGGGGGUUUUAUCCCUGCUGGUUUGGAAGCUAUCUUGGUAGCUGAUUUGAUUUAAUAAAAUUUUAUUAAUUUUUUUUUUCA